UGGGGAAUUUUGGACAAUGGGGGAAACCCUGAUCCAGCCAUCCCGCGUGUGCGAUGAAGGCCUUCGGGUUGUAAAGCACUUUUGGCAGGAAAGAAACGUCGCGGGUUAAUACCCCGCNAAACUGACGGGUACCUGCAGAAUAAGCACCGGCUAACUACGUGCCAGCAGCCGCGGUAAUACGUAGGGUGCAAGCGUUAAUCGGAAUUACUGGGCGUAAAGCGUGCGCAGGCGGUUCGGAAAGAAAGAUGUGAAAUCCCANAGCUUAACUUUGGAACUGCAUUUUUAAACUACCGGGUUAGAGUGUGUCAGAGGGAGGUGGAAUUCCGCGUGUAGCAGUGAAAUGCGUAGAUAUGCGGAGGAACACCGAUGGCGAAGGCAGCCUCCUGGGAUAACACUGACGCUCAUGCACGAAAGCGUGGGGAGCAAACAGGAUUAGAUA
rnacentral:rRNA from 1 species